ACUUUGAAAAGAGAGUUAAAAGUGCCUGAAAUUGCUGAAAGGGAAGCGAAUGGAACCAGUCUUCUUGGUGAGAUUGUUGCACGCUAUGGUGAUUGCUUGCUGCUUCAACGCAAGUGUUGCAGUGGGUUUUGAUCCUGACGUGUGCUUUGUUUCUUACCUCGUGUGUCAACGUCGGUUCGGAAUUGAGGAAAACUCUAGGGACAUGGUAACUCGCCUGCGGGUGAGCCAAUGUGCCUGGUAGAACUCAUUUCUUAACUGAUUUCUGCAUGUCUGGUCGCAGUGUUUCAUUACCUGUGUUCUGGUAUUGCGCUUGUGGCUCUUCUGCUGCUUGCUGCGUUGCUGGGCCUGGUCGUGGAGCAUCUCCCUGACAUUAGUACGAUGACAAAAUGGUUUCAUUCGACCCGUCUUGAAACACGGACCAAGGAGUCUAACAUAUGUGCAAGUUCAUGGGUGUUAAACCUAAUUGCGCAAUGAAAGUGACUGCUGGGAUAUUUGCACCAGCAACCGACCAAUCAAUUGUGAGAGGUUUGAGUAUGAGCAUAUCUGUUAGGACCCGAAAGAUGGUGAACUAUGCGUGAGAAGGGUGAAGUCAGGGGAAACUCUGAUGGAGGCUCGUAGCGAUACUGACGUGCAAAUCGUUCGUCAUACUUGCGUAUAGGGGCGAAAGACUAAUCGAACCAUCUAGUAGCUGGUUCCCUCCGAAGUUUCCCUCAGGAUAGCUGGAGUUGAACAGUUUUAUCAGGUAAAGCGAAUGAUUAGAGGAAUCGGGGACGCGUUGUCCUCGACCUAUUCUCAAACUUUAAAUGGGUAAGAUCCAGUGGUUACUUGGGUGAACUUCUGGGAUAAAUGACAACUCUAAGUGGGCCAUUUUUGGUAAGCAGAACUGGCGAUGAGGGAUGAACCUAACGUUGGGUUAAGGUGCUUAACUGCUCGCUCAUCAGAUACCAUAAAGGGUGUUGGUUCAUUUUAACAGCAGGACGU
rnacentral:rRNA from 1 species